AGAGUUUGAUCCUGGCUCAGAGCGAACGCUGGCGGCGUGCUUAACACAUGCAAGUCGAGGGAGAACGAGAGGCUUCGGCUUCUCUAGUAAACCGGCGCACGGGUGAGUAACACGUAGGUAACCUACCUUCGAGACCGGGAUAACCUAUCGAAAGAUGGGCUAAUACCGGAUAUGACCACGGGAGUUUCGGCUCCUGCGGUGAAAGAUGGCCUAUGCUUGCAAGCUAUCACUCUUAGAUGGGCCUGCGCGCCAUUAGCUAGUUGGUGAGGUAACGGCUCACCAAGGCUACGAUGGCUAGUUGGUCUGAGAGGAUGACCAGCCACACUGGGACUGAGACACGGCCCAGACUCCUACGGGAGGCAGCAGUGGGGAAUAUUGCGCAAUGGGGGAAACCCUGACGCAGCGACGCCGCGUGGGUGAUGAAGGCCUUCGGGUCGUAAAGCCCUGUCGGAGGGGAAGAAGGACUACGGUGCGAAUAGUUCCGUGGUCUGACGGUACCCUCAAAGGAAGCACCGGCUAACUCCGUGCCAGCAGCCGCGGUAAUACGGAGGGUGCAAGCGUUGCUCGGAAUUACUGGGCGUAAAGCGCGUGUAGGCGGCCUCGUAUGUCUGGUGUGAAAGCCCCGGGCUCACCCCGGGAAGUGCACUGGAAACUGCGAGGCUAGAGUUCCGGAGAGGGAGGUGGAAUUCCAGGUGUAGCGGUGAAAUGCGUAGAUAUCUGGAAGAACACCGGUGGCGAAGGCGGCCUCCUGGACGGUGACUGACGCUGAGACGCGAAAGCGUGGGGAGCAAACAGGAUUAGAUACCCUAGUAGUCC
rnacentral:rRNA from 1 species